UACGUAGGGACCGAGCGUUGUCCGGAUUCAUUGGGCGUAAAGAGCUCGUAGGCGGCCACUCAAGUCGAAUGUGAAACCUCGAGGCUUAACCUCGAGCCUGCAUUCGAUACUGGGCGGCUAGAGUCUGGUAGGGGGAUCUGGAAUUCCUGGUGUAGCGGUGGAAUGCGCAGAUAUCAGGAGGAACACCGGUGGCGAAGGCGGCUCACUGGCUCAUAUCUGACGCUCAGGCGCGACAGGCGUGGGGAUCAAACAGG
rnacentral:rRNA from 1 species